rnacentral:piRNA from 1 species
UGAAAUGCAAACCAAAACCUCUUACAUCUC